AUUAAGGGAAAUUUCAGCUCAAUAUGACUUCAACAGUUUAAAAAAUGUAUUAUUUCACAUAAGACCAUGGAGAGAGGAAUUGGAAGCCCCAGAAUUGAUUGGGUCAGAAAUUGAAAAUGAUACUAUCAGUGACCCAGGUUUGAAUGUCUCUCUCCACAGCAUUGACUUCACUAAUGGAUGUGACCUGGUUGGCAGCAGUAGCUUGCACAACAUGCUUGUUUGCAGUGAGUAGUAGAGAGAAGGUUUUGCUUUCCCAGAAACUCUGAAAAAGGUCAUCAAACCUAAAUUUCCUUAGCCUUCUUCUUCCAUGAGCAAAUCACUAGCAGAUGAUUGCUAGCAAGGUGUUACUAUUACAAUGAACCCCUAAGUGUCAGAGAAAGAGUUAGUUUGGGGAAAUAUCCUCUCCACCACAAUCUUAGUCAUUGAAGUCAAUUUAACAAUAUAUUGAAAUAUUUUUCUUAGAAGUUUAAAGUUCCAUUAAAG
rnacentral:lncRNA from 1 species